rnacentral:sRNA from 1 species
UGUUAAGCCUGACAGAAGCGAUAUCCUUUUUGGUAUUGAAGCCUUCGCUACCGGUUACGAACCCAAAAAGAUUUAGCAAAUGGCAGGACCACUU